rnacentral:lncRNA from 1 species
UAUAUCACCUAAAAUCUGCUUAUUCCUCCAGGGGGAAAAGGAAAAAACUCGCUUCUGAGCAGCGCCCUGAGUUGCUUUGUUAACUGCUAGCGCUUCCCCACAACCCUGAGAUUUGGAAGGAUGCUGUGUUGGGAAUCGCUGAUCUGAAACAGUGUGCUUCCCUCUGUGCCUCCCUAGUAU